rnacentral:rRNA from 1 species
GUCGAACGGCAGCACGGGGGCAACCCUGGUGGCGAGUGGCGAACGGGCGAGUAAUACAUCGGAACGUGUCCUGUAGUGGGGGAUAGCCCGGCGAAAGCCGGAUUAAUACCGCAUACGAUCUACGGAAGAAAGCGGGGGAUCUUCGGACCUCGCGCUGCAGGGGCGGCCGAUGGCAGAUUAGCUAGUUGGUGGGGUAAAGGCCUACCAAGGCGACGAUCUGUAGCUGGUCUGAGAGGACGACCAGCCACACUGGGACUGAGACACGGCCCAGACUCCUACGGGAGGCAGCAGUGGGGAAUUUUGGACAAUGGGGGCAACCCUGAUCCAGCAAUGCCGCGUGUGUGAAGAAGGCCUUCGGGUUGUAAAGCACUUUUGUCCGGAAAGAAAACCAUCGCCCUAAUAUGGUGGUGGGAUGACGGUACCGGAAGAAUAAGCACCGGCUAACUACGUGCCAGCAGCCGCGGUAAUACGUAGGGUGCGAGCGUUAAUCGGAAUUACUGGGCGUAAAGCGUGCGCAGGCGGUCUGUUAAGACCGAUGUGAAAUCCCCGGGCUUAACCUGGGAACUGCAUUGGUGACUGGCAGGCUUUGAGUGUGGCAGAGGGAGGUAGAAUUCCACGUGUAGCAGUGAAAUGCGUAGAGAUGUGGAGGAAUACCGAUGGCGAAGGCAGCCUCCUGGGCC